GUGGCUGUAGUUCAGUUGGUUAGAGCGUCAGAUUGUGGUUCUGAAUGUCGUGGGUUCGAGCCCCACCAGCCACCCA
rnacentral:tRNA from 5 species